CGUAAUAAUAGAAACUAACCAGGAUUCCCUUAGUAACGGCGAGUGAACUGGGAUACCAACAAAAUACAUGUGCCUCGCGCGCAUGAUUUAGCCCGUCGAUACUAUCUCAGCAUAUUACCGGUCUCGGCCGGUAGCCCAAUAUGCGGGAAUUGUAGCAUCGUAAUAAAUAAAGAAUAUAUAUACACGCACACACCCACCGCGUACACACUUGUAAACACACAGCGUCUCCGCGUUGGAAAGCAAGUUUAUAUCCUCUUUGGAUAUGCCAUAGAGUGUGACAGCCACGUUUCACUCAACACCCGUACGCACCACACACACACACACGCCCCGUGCAAAUGUAAUAUAUUUCUCUAUAACCUGAGUCGAGUUAUUU
rnacentral:rRNA from 1 species